GUCUAAUUUUAGUAUUGGUACCCCAGCUUUCUUUUGGUUACUAUUUACAUAGAAUAUUUUUUUCCAUCCUUUUAAUUUCAAUCUUUGGAUAUUCUUGUAACAGGAUGUAAUUGGAUCAUGUUUUCUCGUCUGUUCUGCCUAUCUCUGCCUUUUGAUUGGAAAGUUUAGCCUAUUUAUAUUUAAAAUAAUUGCUGGUAAGAAAGGACUUACUUUUGUCAGUUUGUCUUCUGUACAUCUUAUGCCUUUUUUGUCUUUCAUUUUUUCCAUUACUGCCUUCUUUUGUGAUUAAUUGAUUUUUUUUUUUUUUGCAGAUUAUUUUUAUUCCCUUCUCAGUUCCUUUUGUAUAUAUAUUUAAGAUUUUUUUGUGGUUAUUACAGGAACUACAUUUAACAUCCUAAAAUUAAAAAACCAAAGCAAAUAACUAAAUUUAUAACAAUCUAAUUAGAUUGGAUAUCAACUUAACUCUAAUAGCACACAACACUUGAUUCCUAUACAGCUCUGUCAUCCCUCUCCUUAUGCUUCUAGACACAUAAAGAUGUUAUGACAAAUUAUACCUUGAUGUGUCUAGAAGCAUAGAUUUAUUAUAUUUUAAUGCAUUUUUCUUUCAAAUUCUGUAGGAAAUAAGUAGAGUUAUAAACAAAAAAUACAAUAAUAAUCGCUUUAAUAUUUGCUCAUGUAUUUACCUUUACCAGAGGUCUUUAUUUUUCUUGUAUAUGGCUUUGAGUUACUGUUUAGUGUUCUUUUGUUUCAAUAUGAAGGACUUCUUUAAAUAUUUUUGUAAGACAGGUCUAGUGGUAGCAAGCUGCCUCAUCACUUGUUUAUCUAAGAAUGUGUUAUUUUUAUCCAUCAUUUUUGAAAAAUUAUUUGUUGGUUAUAGAACUCUUAGUUGACAGUUAUUUCCUUCAUCACUUCACAUAUGUUAUCCCACUGUCUUCUAGCCCAAACAGUUUUUGAUAGUUUUUGAAAUCAGCUGCUAAUUUUGAGUCUCCCUUUUACGUGAUGUGCUGCUUCUCUCUUGCUGCUUUUAAGAUUAUCUCUUUGUCUUUUGACCGUUUGAUCAUGAUGUGUCUUGGUGUGGAUCUCAGAGCUCAUCUUACUUGGAGUUGGUUAAGCUUAUUGGAUUUGUAGAUUCAUGUGUUUCAUCAAAUUUGGGAAGUUUCAGCCAUUAUUUGAACAAUAAUAUUGUUCAAAUAUUAUUUUGCCCCUUUCUCUAGCUCCUCCUUUUCAAACUCUUCUGUUGUAUAUAUUAGUCUUCUUGAUGGUAUCCCACAGGUCCCUUAGACUCUGUUCACUUUUUUUUUUCUUUUACUCAGACUCAGUAUUUUCAAUUGUCCUAUUUUCAAAUUUGGCCAUUCUUUUUUCUGCCUACUCAAAUCUGCUUUUGAACCUCUCUAGUGAAUUUUAAAAUUUUUUGUUCUUGUACUUUUCAGUCCAAAUAUUCUGUUUGGUUCCUUUAUAUAAUUUCUACCUAUUCAUUGAUAUUCUUAUUUUGCCCAUAUAUUAUUAUCCUGAUUUUCUUUUGUUCUGUAUCUGUGUUUUCUCUUUGCUCUGUAAGCAUACUUAAGACAGUUGUUUUAAAGUUUUUGUCAAGUAAGUCUGAGGUAUGGGCUCCCACAGGUACAGUUUCUUUCAGUUUAUUUUGUUCCUUUGAAUGGGCUACAAUUUCCUGUUUCCUGUAUGCCUUGUGAUUUUUUUUAUUGUUGAAGGUUAUAGUAGUCUGUUUGUUUAGUAUUUUUUCCAAACUAUUAUUGAAAAGACUAUAUUUUUUAUCAUGUGAGGUCAUAGAAGUCUUUGUUCCUUAGCUUAUAUUCAGCUAGUGUUCUGACUGAGAUUUCCGUGAGUGCCAGGAACUAAAAACAAAACAAAACAAAGGGAGAGAAAGGGAAAACCACCUCUACUAAUCUUUCCAGACUGCCUCUGUAUAUGUGCAUGUGUGCCCUUCCUUCAACAGUUAGCCAUCCUCACACUGAGUCUACAGAUCAACUCAAGGUGAAAGUGUAGGGUCAUCUUAGGUCUUUCUUCUGUAUGUGUUUUGUCCUGGGUGUGUACAUGGCUUUCUAAAUUCCCAGUAUACAUGACUACUUUUGAAUGUCCUGAUUUCCUAAAGAAAUUUUCCUCAGCCUUUGCCUUGGGCAACUUAUUUUAUGUUUUGACUAUAAUCUUUUGUCCCAGGCACCUGAAAGUUGUUAGUUGGGCUUGUAGUAUUUGAGAGCAUUGCUUUUUUGGCCUGAUUUCUGAGGUAGAAAAAGAGAUGUUUGCUUUCCAUCACUCCUUCAGGUAGUCCCCAGACAGGUUAGAACAGACAUACAUGAUUUGUGGAUAAUAUCUGCUCUGCUCCACUCCCUCUUGAAUCAGAGGAAAGCGUCCUACACUAAGAAUGCAGGCAGCCCCUGCUUCAAGACCAAAUCUGCUAUAAAAUCACCACAAACUUUCCUAACAUUUUGUUGUGCUUUUUUUAAUUCAGUUUUUGUUUGCUAGAGUUCUGAAAAAGUUGAUUCUGAUAGUUUAUUCUUGUUUUUUAGAGUUUCUGUGGGAAAUGAGAACUGCAGCUGCCAACUUCACCAUUUUGCUGAUGUCACUAAGUGCAAGUUUGACUUUUCAAUUAGACCAUCUAUGCCUAAAGAUUUUUCAGAUGCCAAGAUGCUUCUUUCACAUCUUAGGAUCAUGGUGGUUUGUAAACAGAUAAGAAAGUUUGGAGUUGCCCAGAAAGAAAGCAUAGUCAUGCUUCACCAAUCCAGUGCUCACUUAUCCAUGUCAGCUCUUUAAGUCAUGUCUGAGAUCCCUGAGACUGCACAGGAAGCAUGGAACAGCAUCUGCUUGGAUUCUGGGGAGGCCUCAAGGAGCUUUUACUCAUGGCAGAAGGUGGAGCCAUCUCACAUGGCAGAGCAGAAGCAAGAGGGGGCCUGGAAAACAUAUCGGGAGAAUAAUCAAGGAAAACUUCCUCAGCCUUGUGACAAAUCUAGACAGCCAAAUACAAGAAGCACAAAGAACACCUGAGAAAUUCAUCACAAAAAGACCAUCCUUAUACCUGUCUCCUUGGGCAAGUAUUUUUCUAGGGUUGGGGCCUGAAAACGGAAUUAUUAGAUAGAAAAGUAUGUGUAGUCUCUACUUCACUAGGGUUUGUAGUUAUAGCAAUUUAUACUCCUAGUAAUAUAUGAGCUGCCCUUUCCUUACAUAACCUCCAAAACUUGACAUUAUUAGAUUUAGUCAUCUUGAUGGAUAUAAAAUAAUAUUUAUUAUUGUUCUAAUUUGGAUUUUUUUUCUGAUUAUUAUCAAGGUUAAAUUAUUUAGUUAUCCUCUUUUGUUAAUUGCCUAUUUAUCUCUUUUGCUCAUUUUUCUACUGGGUUAUUUGUUUUCUGCUUAUUAAAUUUUAGGAGUUCUUUAUAUACUAGGGAAGAGAAUCCUUUGUUCAUUAUAUGUGUAUAUUACAAAUAUCUUCUCUCAGUCUGUGACUUAUCCUUAAUUUUGUUUAGACUAUUUCCUUAAUACCAAAUUAAAAAAAGUACUAAUUUUAUUUUCCUUUUGUGUUUCUGAAAAUGUACAUGAAUUUGAAAAUAAUGGCCUUCUUUUUUAUCCUGUCAUGAAUACAGUGUAUCUCUCCAUUUAUGGAGAUUUUUUUUGUUUAGGGAUUAUUUCAUGUCCUCCAUUAUAGUAUUUUGAUUUUAUUAAUGUCUUGCAUAUCUUUUUUGUUGUUGUUAGAUUUAUUCCUAGGAAUCUUAUGGUUGCUAUUGUAAAUUCUUUUAAUUGACAUUUUCCAGUUGUUUAUUGCUGUUGUAUCGGAAUGUUAAUUUUUCAUUUAUUGAUCAUAUAUAGAGCAAUCUUGGUGAUUUAUUGUCAUAAAAUUGUUUAUAGUAUUCACAUAAUUUUUUUUUAACAUGGAGUUUAUGGCCGGGCGCGGUGGCUCACG
rnacentral:lncRNA from 1 species